UAGGGAAUCUUCCGCAAUGGGCGAAAGCCUGACGGAGCAACGCCGCGUGAGUGAUGAAGGUCUUCGGAUCGUAAAACUCUGUUAUUAGGGAAGAACAAAUGUGUAAGUAACUAUGCACGUCUUGACGGUACCUAAUCAGAAAGCCACGGCUAACUACGUGCCAGCAGCCGCGGUAAUACGUAGGUGGCAAGCGUUAUUCGGAAUUAUUGGGCGUAAAGCGCGCGUAGGCGGUUUUUUAAGUCUGAUGUGAAAGCCCACGGCUCAACCGUGGAGGGUCAUUGGAAACUGGAAAACUUGAGUGCAGAAGAGGAAAGUAGAAUUCCAUGUGUAGCGGUGAAAUGCGCAGAGAUAUGGAGGAACACCAGUGGAGAAUGCGACUUUCUGGUCUGUAACUGACGCUGAUGUGCGAAAGCGUGGGGAUCAAACAGG
rnacentral:rRNA from 1 species